rnacentral:lncRNA from 1 species
CUGUGAUCUUCUGGGACCUGAAAUCAACUGCACAUAAGAUAUGUAAUCAGCUUGUACAUAUGUAUAGGAUAUGCUCCCAUUUGGAACUUGACUGUGGUAAGGUUUUUUUGGCUGGUUUAAAUGGCAGAAGGUUGUAGUUCUAGUUCCCCCCACCCCACCCCACCCCAAAACCCAAUUAACUUUAUACAGGUAUAGUAUCUGUUAAUAAAGAAAGCAAGAAGGGUCAAGUUUUUCUUUUAAUUUUAAUUCUAUUUCUUCCUAUUUUACUUCUUAGGCCUAGCCUCUGUUUUAGUUUCUUUCCUCACUCCUUUCAACUCCCGUGAGGGUGUGUAUAUUUGUAAAUAUUAGAAGCUUACUUUCAAUCUUUGUCAUGCUAAAAAGAGCAUGCCUUUGGAGCUGGUAUUUUAGUGUUCUCCUUUUAGUUAGGCAGCAGUUAUACCAUUUGUAUUGAGUACAAUAUUUCUGAUAGUUACAGACUUGCAAGCUGCGAUUUGUUCAGCAUCUCACUUUUGUUAUGGUUGAAAUCGUCAACUUGUUUUUGAUAUGUCAGACACCCUCCGACUCAGUUUCGUUCUUUCUGUCCCUUAUUCGGAAAAUUUGUAUAAUAAUAAUAAUAUACGCAGUGUAAUUUCACAAGUGGUUUUUGGGGGUGGUGUAGUAUGUACGCUGGCUUUGGUUGUUUUCGAAAGAUCUACAAAUCAACAAGAACAAAAAUGUAGCAGACUAAAGGAAAUACAGUAGCAAACUAGAUAUGAGCUGAGAAGAUUUAAAAAUAAUAGGUUAAAAAGGCUAGAACAAUAUUAGAAUAACCCAUGAAGAAAGGUAAAGCGUUCGACUAUCCAUUACUCUAAUUAUCGACCUUCACGCCUUUAUAUUAAGAGCUAUGUCCCCAGUGUGAGAAUGCACGGGAAAAAAAUAUGAUAUUACAUGUGUUAAAACAAAAUACAAUGCGCCCUAAAUAUAUGUACAUAACAUGUCCUAUUCU